rnacentral:rRNA from 1 species
UACAGAGGUCUCAAGCGUUGUUCGGAUUCAUUGGGCGUAAAGGGUGCGUAGGCGGCGCGGUAAGUCGGGUGUGAAAUCUCGGGGCUUAACUCCGAAACUGCAUUCGAUACUGCCGUGCUUGAGGACUGGGAGAGGAGACUGGAAUUUACGGUGUAGCGGUGAAAUGCGUAGAUAUCGUAAGGAAGACCAGUGGCGAAGGCGGGGUCUCUGGACAGUUCCUGACGCUGAGGCACGAAGGUCAGGGGAGUAAACGGG